rnacentral:tRNA from 1 species
GCCUGGGUGGCUCAGUCAGUUAAGCGUCUGACUUCAGCUCAGGUCAUGAUCUUGAGCUUCAUGGGUUCACGCCCCACCUUGGGCU